AUUGAACGCUGGCGGCAUGCUUUACACAUGCAAGUCGAACGGUAACAGGUUAAGCUGACGAGUGGCGAACGGGUGAGUAAUGCAUCGGAACGUGCCCGGUCGUGGGGGAUAACGCAGCGAAAGCUGCGCUAAUACCGCAUACGAUCUAAGGAUGAAAGCGGGGGACCGUAAGGCCUCGCGCGAUCGGAGCGGCCGAUGUCAGAUUAGGUAGUUGGUGGGGUAAAGGCGCACCAAGCCAACGACCUGUAGCUGGGCUGAGAGGACGACCAGCCACACUGGGACUGAGACACGGCCCAGACUCCUACGGGAGGCAGCAGUAGGGAAUUUUGGACAAUGGGCGAAAGCCUGAUCCAGCAAUGCCGCGUGCAGGAAGAAGGCCUUCGGGUUGUAAACUGCUUUUGUACGGAGCGAAAAGGUCUCCUCUAAUACAGGGGGCUCAUGACGGUACCGUAAGAAUAAGCACCGGCUAACUACGUGCCAGCCGCCGCAGUAA
rnacentral:rRNA from 1 species